UUACGGCCAUAUCACGUUGAAACGCCGGUUGUCGUACGAUCAUCGAAGUUAAGCAACAUCGGGCUUGGUCAGUACCUAGAUGGAUGACCAAUUUGGAAUACUAGGUGCUGUAAG